AACCUCUGAAAAUGGAAACAAUGCUAUCAUAAUACAAUUCUAAAAACUAAACGGUUUUGUCACUAAACGGAUCUAGCCUCAUUUCUUUAAUCGCUUUAGUUAAGCACAAUAACUGAAAUCCUGGACAAAAUUGUUGAAACACAAUGCAAUUUUUGCAAUUUGCUACUUUACGUUGACCCUGUAAAUUUGAAUCUCCCGUUAUCCUCGAAUCAAUGUUGGAUUUCUUGUUCUAUCAUUUCUCCUUCAAAAUCAAAUAAGAAAAUAUCAACUUUAGACGGUGCCAUUUGCACCACACUUGCUCUUUGGAGCUAAAAGUGAGAAAUGGUACUGUACUGAGCAUGUUGGGCAAUUUUCUGUUGUAAAUUCUAUAGAUUAUCUAGUACCUAAAUCGAUAAGGGGUUUAGGCAACAGUUUUAUAUUUGAGGAGGGAGGGUGAUUAGGACAAUCCUUCUUGGUGGCACAGAGAAUCAUGGGAUUCCUAUGCCACCAAGAAAAGGCGUACCGGCUGCGCAGUAUCAGGAACCCAGUUCUGGUUCCGGGUAACAAAUGCUCUUUAUUCCAGCAUACCUCUGUGUAAGAAACCGGACGACAACCUUCUCCGUUGAGAAAAUCCCCAAUUUGCCACGGCCCCUACAAGCUAACAGUUGUGUCUCCAUUCAGUUUGUCGCUCUCCUUUUGGCAGGACAUCCCAUCUCCCCUUCCAGCCCUCGAAAAAUUGUCCUGCCUCUGCAAUUUUAUCUGAUACUUCCCUUGAAAAGCUCACCGUCAAGGCCAAUUGGAUGCCGUCUGUUUUAAGAAAGAUGGGCGUUUCUUUAAACCAUUCAAAAAGAUGUUGAAUGAUCUUAGAAAUAGAAAAGGGAGCGAGACAUCCUGAAAUCGUAUCCGACAUAUUUUGCAGUGUAUGAUUACUUCUUUCUCAUGUUACAUCAAGAGAAGAGCCUAAAAUAUUCACCAGACUGUAAUUUUUGGUAAUGCGCGAGGAACACAUUGAUGUUAGGCGAAGGUUUCCAGACAACAUUGACAAGUUAUUUCACAAAUCAAACAUGGAUGCUUCUACUUGAAUGCAAAUCCUUGUCUUUCCAGCGCUGAAAAGUGGAUGGAUUCAACGUCCAAAAGGUUUCUGUCACUGUCAGGAGGCAUUUGUUAUUUUCUGGUCAUCUCAGGAAUUUCCAAGAAGCUGACAAAUAAUUGAUGACUUGAGCUUGAUCCCAGUAGAAGUAGAACCCCAAGCUUACGAAAUUGGAAAGAAGAUAGCAAAUUGUUCAUUCACAAGAUGGAAUCUUUCCUGCAAACAAAAGAUAACAAACUCUUUUAUGGAUCAGCAGAAAGAACCGGGCAAUUCUUGAUAAAGGUUGGAGAAGGUUGUAAUCUGGCCUUGGAGAAGUAAUAACUUGCCCCAAUUUCCCCCUGCAAGUGCUACCACAAAGACCUCAACAAAUUGUUAAAAAAGACAACUGUUUUUGUAUUAAAAUGUUUACAAAGAAGAUUAUUUUUAAAAUUACCAUAAUUUAAUAGAUAAUUUGGUUGCUAUCUAUGUAUUUGUAGUUUGCAAAUCCACUAAUUCUUUCAAACUAGUAACAACAUAUUGAAUUUUUCAGUAAUAAGUAUUUUCUAGCAAUUUUGCAAUAGAUUAUUGCUUCAUGAUACUUUUGUAAGAACAUUUUUCAAGUGGACCUGAAUGAAUUUGCUAGCAAGUUCAUUGGCCUGAUUGUGUUCGUUUAUACAAUUCAAUAAUACAAACAUGCAUUCAUUAUCCAUUAAUAUAGCAGGUUAAAAUCACGACAGCUUCAAGCAGGGAGCUGGCAAGGCCCCUGCCUAAGCUUAAAGAUUAAAUACUAAAAAUAUCUUUACAAAAGUAUAUUGGAAAAGUUCGAAUAUUAAUAUCACCUCAAAUACGUUUCUUUCUUUGUUUAUGAACAAGUUUAUAAUUUUUGAAAUAAGUUUUUAACUAUGACUAAUGUUGGUUGUUUAGUCUCAUCUUGAAAGUUUGUAUACUCCCAUG